GGGGCUGUAGCUUAGUGGUAGAAUGCUCGCCUUGCAUGUGGGAGGCACCAUGUUCGAUCCUCAGCACCA
rnacentral:tRNA from 1 species